GGCUACCAUGCAGUCGAGGGGCAGCAUUUCAGUUUGCUUGCAAACUGGAGAUGGCGACCGGCGCACGGGUGAGUAACACGCUAUCCAACCUGCCGAUAACUCGGGGAUAGCCUUUCGAAAGAAAGAUUAAUACCCGAUGGUAUAAUCAGACCGCAUGGUCUUAUUAUUAAAGAAUUUCGGUUAUCGAUGGGGAUGCGUUCCAUUAGGCAGUUGGUGAGGUAACGGCUCACCAAACCUUCGAUGGAUAGGGGUUCUGAGAGGAAGGUCCCCCACAUUGGAACUGAGACACGGUCCAAACUCNUACGGGAGGCAGCAGUGAGGAAUAUUGGUCAAUGGGCGCAGGCCUGAACCAGCCAAGUAGCGUGAAGGAUGACUGCCCUAUGGGUUGUAAACUUCUUUUAUAUGGGAAUAAAGUUUUCCACGUGUGGAAUUUUGUAUGUACCAUAUGAAUAAGGAUCGCCUAACUCCGUGCCAGCAGCCGCGGUAAUACGGAGGAUCCGAGCGUUAUCCGGAUUUAUUGGGUUUAAAGGGAGCGUAGGUGGACAGUUAAGUCAGUUGUGAAAGUUUGCGGCUCAACCGUAAAAUUGCAGUUGAUACUGGCUGUCUUGAGUACAGUAGAGGUGGGCGGAAUUCGUGGUGUAGCGGUGAAAUGCUUAGAUAUCACGAAGAACUCCGAUUGCGAAGGCAGCUCACUGGACUGCAACUGACACUGAUGCUCGAAAGUGUGGGUAUCAAACAGGAUUAGAUACCCUGGUAGUCCACACAGUAAACGAUGAAUACUCGCUGUUUNGCGAUAUACAGUAAGCGGCCAAGCGAAAGCAUUAAGUAUUCCACCUGGGGAGUACGCCGGCAACGGUGAAACUCAAAGGAAUUGACGGGGGCCCGCACAAGCGGAGGAACAUGUGGUUUAAUUCGAUGAUACGCGAGGAACCUUACCCGGGCUUAAAUUGCAUUUGAAUANUNUGGAAACAGNUUAGCCGCAAGGCAAAUGUGAAGGUGCUGCAUGGUUGUCGUCAGCUCGUGCCGUGAGGUGUCGGCUUAAGUGCCAUAACGAGCGCAACCCUUAUCUUUAGUUACUAACAGGUCAUGCUGAGGACUCUAGAGAGACUGCCGUCGUAAGAUGUGAGGAAGGUGGGGAUGACGUCAAAUCAGCACGGCCCUUACGUCCGGGGCUACACACGUGUUACAAUGGGGGGUACAGAAGGCAGCUACCUGGUGACAGGAUGCUAAUCCCAAAAGCCUCUCUCAGUUCGGAUCGAAGUCUGCAACCCGACUUCGUGAAGCUGGAUUCGCUAGUAAUCGCGCAUCAGCCAUGGCGCGGUGAAUACGUUCCCGGGCCUUGUUNAAAGGNGCCCGUCAAGCCAUGAAAGCCGGGGGUACCUGAAGUACGUAACCGCAAGGAGCUCCUAGGA
rnacentral:rRNA from 1 species